ACACACAGCUCCCGAAUUGCUAGUUCACGGCUGCGGCACACUGCGCCCGUGGCUGCAAGGCCGGAGCGGCCUACACCCCCACGCCUGUGAUUAGAAAAUAUUUAUUGGCUGACCUAAUCAUCACCCUCGCUGCUCGCUUUGACGUGCACAAGAUAUGACCUUGUUAAGUCAUGUUGAUGAGUAUUAUAUGCUCCUCCUAUGCGCAGAAAUUCAACCACUUAUAAGUAAAAAGAAGAACAGGAGUACUUGUGGCACCUUAGAGACUAACAAAUUUAUUAGAG